UACAGAGGGGGCCAGCGUUAUUCGGAAUUAUUGGGCGUAAAGGGCGCGUAGGCGGCUUAUCAAGUCAGGCGUGAAAUUCCCGGGCUCAACCUGGGGGCUGCGCUUGAUACUGAUUGGCUUGAAUGCGGAAGAGGAUAGUGGAAUUCCCAGUGUAGAGGUGAAAUUCGUAGAUAUUGGGAAGAACACCAGUGGCGAAGGCGACCACCUGGACUGAUACUGACACUGAGGUGCGAAAGCGUGGGGAGCAACAGG
rnacentral:rRNA from 1 species